UACGUAGGGUGCAAGCAUUAAUCGGAUUUAUUGGGCGUAAAGGACGCGUAGGCGGAUAAGCAAGUCAGUUGUGAAAUCCUUCGGCUCAACCGAAGAAUGGCAAUUGAAACUACUUGUCUUGAGGGUAGAUGGAGAGAACGGAAUUCCACGUGUAGCGGUGAAAUGCGUAGAUAUGUGGAAGAACACCGGUGGCGAAGGCGGUUCUCUAAUUUAUACCUGACGCUGAGGCGUGAAAGCAAGGGGAGCAAACAGG
rnacentral:rRNA from 1 species